rnacentral:rRNA from 1 species
GAUGAACGCUGGCGGCGUGCCUAAUACAUGCAAGUCGAGCGAACGGACGAGAAGCUUGCUUCUCUGAUGUUAGCGGCGGACGGGUGAGUAACACGUGGAUAACCUACCUAUAAGACUGGGAUAACUUCGGGAAACCGGAGCUAAUACCGGAUAAUAUUUUGAACCGCAUGGUUCAAAAGUGAAAGACGGUCUUGCUGUCACUUAUAGAUGGAUCCGCGCUGCAUUAGCUAGUUGGUAAGGUAACGGCUUACCAAGGCAACGAUGCAUAGCCGACCUGAGAGGGUGAUCGGCCACACUGGAACUGAGACACGGUCCAGACUCCUACGGGAGGCAGCAGUAGGGAAUCUUCCGCAAUGGGCGAAAGCCUGACGGAGCAACGCCGCGUGAGUGAUGAAAGUCUUCGGAUCGUAAAACUCUGUUAUUAGGGAAGAACAUAUGUGUAAGUAACUGUGCACAUCUUGACGGUACCUAAUCAGAAAGCCACGGCUAACUACGUGCCAGCAGCCGCGGUAAUACGUAGGUGGCAAGCGUUAUCCGGAAUUAUUGGGCGUAAAGCGCGCGUAGGCGGUUUUUUAGUCUGAUGUGAAAGCCCACGGCUCAACCGUGGAGGGUCAUUGGAAACUGGAAAACUUGAGUGCAGAAGAGGAAAGUGGAAUUCCAUGUGUAGCGGUGAAAUGCGCAGAGAUAUGGAGGAACACCAGUGGCGAAGGCGACUUUCUGGUCUGUAACUGACGCUGAUGUGCGAAAGCGUGGGGAUCAAACAGGAUUAGAUACCCUGGUAGUCCACGCCGUAAACGAUGAGUGCUAAGUGUUAGGGGGUUUCCGCCCCUUAGUGCUGCAGCUAACGCAUUAAGCACUCCGCCUGGGGAGUACGACCGCAAGGUUGAAACUCAAAGGAAUUGACGGGGACCCGCACAAGCGGUGGAGCAUGUGGUUUAAUUCGAAGCAACGCGAAGAACCUUACCAAAUCUUGACAUCCUUUGACAACUCUAGAGAUAGAGCCUUCCCCUUCGGGGGACAAAGUGACAGGUGGUGCAUGGUUGUCGUCAGCUCGUGUCGUGAGAUGUUGGGUUAAGUCCCGCAACGAGCGCAACCCUUAAGCUUAGUUGCCAUCAUUAAGUUGGGCACUCUAAGUUGACUGCCGGUGACAAACCGGAGGAAGGUGGGGAUGACGUCAAAUCAUCAUGCCCCUUAUGAUUUGGGCUACACACGUGCUACAAUGGACAAUACAAAGGGCAGCGAAACCGCGAGGUCAAGCAAAUCCCAUAAAGUUGUUCUCAGUUCGGAUUGUAGUCUGCAACUCGACUACAUGAAGCUGGAAUCGCUAGUAAUCGUAGAUCAGCAUGCUACGGUGAAUACGUUCCCGGGUCU